GGAAGUAAAAGUCGUAACAAGGUCUCCGUAGGUGAACCUGCGGAGGGAUCAUUACAAGUGACCCCGGUCUAACCACCGGGAUGUUCAUAACCCUUUGUUGUCCCGACUCUGUUGCCUCCGGGGCGACCCUGCCUUCGGGCGGGGGCUCCCGGGUGGACACUUCAAACUCUUGCGUAACUUUGCAGUCUGAGUAAACUUAAUUAAUAAAUUAAAACUUUUAACAACGGAUCUCUUGGUUCUGGCAUCGAUGAAGAACGCAGCGAAAUGCGAUAAGUAAUGUGAAUUGCAGAAUUCAGUGAAUCAUCGAAUCUUUGAACGCACAUUGCGCCCCCUGGUAUUCCGGGGGGCAUGCCUGUUCGAGCGUCAUUUCACCACUCAAGCCUCGCUUGGUAUUGGG
rnacentral:rRNA from 1 species